rnacentral:lncRNA from 1 species
UGGCAGCUUUGGUUUUGCUUUAUGGGUGGUCUUUGUUCUUCAAGACUCAUAUGAAUACCACAUAUUAGCUGAGCUGGUUCUCCCUUGAUGUCUGUGUUGUAUUGUACACAUGUUGUCACUGUUUGACACUUAAACAAUCCAGAUUCUUACCCAGCCCAUAUUUAGUGCCAUAAUAAACUUCGGAGCAUAUGUUUUUGAGAGCAACAGUAACAUUCAUCACUGCAAUGUGACAUAAAAAUAAGCACUACUGGAGAGCCGGCGUGCCUUCAGAGGGCAGAGCUGGACUGGAAGGUGAAGGGAUGUGGUCAUCAUCUGUGCUGCUCUUACUGGGCUCUUUUCUUCCUCGCCUUGUCUCAGUAAAUCAAAGCAGUUGUUGAAGUGACCUCCAAAAUUCACCCCGUACAUGUGAAAAACACACACUGUUACAAAACUUUUUUAGUGAAACAUUUCCUGUUUGGGGCUUUGGCUUGACAAACCAGAGAUGCAUAAACCAUCGCUCCUCUCUUCAUCUCUCUCAUUCUCUCUUUCAGCAGGGAGUUCCUCUGGGGCCCAGUCCGAAGCACCGGUCUGGCAGCUGCGCCGCACCAAUGCCUCCCGCUCCCGGCUGCCAACGUGAAAUGCUGGCUCUGUUCACAAGAUCCUUUCUGCAGAAAUUCCCUUCUGAGAGGGCUACUCCCAGAUGAGGCCAAGAGGAAACCUUUGGUUAGGUUGGACCUGGCUGAACAUGGACACAAUGCUGGUGGUGCUGGAGGGUAACAUUUGUUUCUUCAUUUCAUGAGGGAUCUUGCCCGUACCUGAGAUACCCGGACACUUCUCUGGUGAUUUGGCACAUUUCAGAAAUACAGAAUGAACAAACAGGGUUUGUGUAACGAAAGCAAACAGUUGGUGGCGUGUGUGAUUGCUCGAGAGUGUGCAAUUAAAAAAAAGGAACCUAAAUAACUGUUACAUUCCCAACAGCAUGGUCUUGUGAAUAACCAGAAGGGCUUAUUCAUUAUUUGCCUCCAAAUAUAUCUCCACUCAAAUGAUGCUUCUGUUAGGGGGAAUCUCUAUUAAUAGAGACUGAGGAAAAUAAUGUCAUCUUUGUCUCUUUCUAAGACAUGUCCUUAUUUUGUU